rnacentral:rRNA from 1 species
UAAGCAUAUCAAUAAGCGGAGGAAAAGAAACCAACCGGGAUUGCCUCAGUAACGGCGAGUGAAGCGGCAAGAGCUCAAAUUUGAAAUCUGGCCCCUCCGGGGUCCGAGUUGUAAUUUGCAGAGGAUGCUUCGGGUGCGGCCCCCGUCUAAGUGCCCUGGAACGGGCCGUCAGAGAGGGUGAGAAUCCCGUCUUGGGCGGGGUGUCCGUGCCCGUGUGAAGCUCCUUCGACGAGUCGAGUUGUUUGGGAAUGCAGCUCUAAAUGGGUGGUAAAUUUCAUCUAAAGCUAAAUACUGGCCGGAGACCGAUAGCGCACAAGUAGAGUGAUCGAAAGAUGAAAAGCACUUUGAAAAGAGAGUUAAACAGCACGUGAAAUUGUUGAAAGGGAAGCGCUUGCGACCAGACUCGCCCGCGGGGUUCAGCCGGCAUUCGUGCCGGUGUACUUCCCCGUGGGCGGGCCAGCGUCGGUUUGGGCGGCCGGUCAAAGGCCUCCGGAAUGUAUCGCCCCCCGGGGCGUCUUAUAGCCGGAGGUGCAAUGCGGCCAGCCUAGACCGAGGAACGCGCUUCGGCACGGACGCUGGCAUAAUGGUCGCAAACGACCCGUCUUGAAACACGGACCAAGGAGUCUAACAUCUACGCGAGUGUUCGGGUGUCAAACCCGUACGCGCAGUGAAAGCGAACGGAGGUGGGAGCCCCCUCGUGGGGCGCACCAUCGACCGAUCCUGAUGUCUUCGGAUGGAUUUGAGUACGAGCGUAGCUGUGGGGACCCGAAAGAUGGUGAACUAUGCCUGAAUAGGGCGAAGCCAGAGGAAACUCUGGUGGAGGCUCGCAGCGGUUCUGACGUGCAAAUCGAUCGUCAAAUUUGGGUAUAGGGGCGAAAGACUAAUCGAACCAUCUGGUAGCUGGUUCCUGCCGAGU